rnacentral:rRNA from 1 species
GACGUAGGGUGCGAGCGUUUGUCCGGAUUUAUUGGGCGUAAAGAGCUCGUAGGCGGCUUGUCGCGUCGACCGUGAAAACUUGGGCUCAACCCAAGCCUGCGGUCGAUACGGGCAGGCUAGAGUUCGGUAGGGGAGACGUGGAAUUCCUGGUGUAGCGGUGAAAAUGCGCAGAUAUCAGGAGGAACACCGGUGGCGAAGGCGGGUCUCUGGGCCGAUACUGACGCUGAGGAGCGAAAGCGUGGGGAGCGAACAGG